rnacentral:rRNA from 1 species
GGGCUUGACAUCCCACGAACCUGCCUGAAAGGGCGGGGUGCCCGCAAGGGAGCGUGGAGACAGGUGGUGCAUGGCUGUCGUCAGCUCGUGUCGUGAGAUGUUGGGUUAAGUCCCGCAACGAGCGCAACCCUCACCCCUAGUUGCCACCGGGUAAUGCCGAGCACUCGAGGGGAACUGCCAGCGUCAAGCUGGAGGAAGGCGGGGAUGACGUCAAGUCAUCAUGCCCCUUACGCCCUGGGCUACACACGUGCUACAAUGGCCGGUACAAAGGGAUGCAAGACCGCGAGGUGGAGCUAAUCCCAAAAAGCCGGUCUAAGUUCAGAUUGCAGUCUGCAACUCGACUGCAUGAAGGAGGAAUCGCUAGUAAUCGCGCAUCAGCCCGGCGCGGUGAAUACGUUCCCGGGCCUUGUACACACCGCCCGCCACACCACGAAAGCUGUCUGUACUCGAAGUCGCUGAG